GACGAACGCUGGCGGCGCGCCUUACGCAUGCAAGUCGAACGGUCGCCUUCGGGCGGCAGUGGCAGACGGCUGAGUAACGCGUAGGUAAUCUGUCCCGUAGUGGGGGAUAAGCCUUCGAAAGAAGGUCUAAUACCGCAUGAGAUCGCCGGGUGAAAGACCGGGCGAGGAAAGCCGCAAGGCGCUAUGGGAGGGGCCUGCGUCCUAUCAGGUAGUUGGUGAGGUAACGGCUCACCAAGCCGAUGACGGGUAGCUGGUCUGAGAGGACGACCAGCCAGACGGGGACUGAGACACGGCCCCGACUCCUACGGGAGGCAGCAGCGAGGAAUCUUGGGCAAUGGGCGAAAGCCUGACCCAGCGACGCCGCGUGGGGAAGAAGGCCUUCGGUCGUAACCC
rnacentral:rRNA from 1 species